rnacentral:rRNA from 1 species
CUACGGGAGGCUCCAGUGAGGAAUAUUGCACAAUGGGGGGAACCCUGAUGCAGCAACGCCGCGUGGAGGAUGACGCAUUUCGGUGUGUAAACUCCUUUUAUAUGUCAAGAGAAUGACGGCAGCGUAUGAAUAAGCACCGGCUAACUCCGUGCCAGCAGCCGCGGUAAUACGGAGGGUGCAAGCGUUACUCGGAAUCACUGGGCGUAAAGGACGCGUAGGCGGGGUGGAAAGUCAGGUGUGAAAUCCUACAGCUUAACUGUAGAACUGCACUUGAAACUUCUAAUCUAGAGUAUGGGAGGGGGAGAUGGAAUUAGUGGUGUAGGGGUAAAAUCCGUAGAUAUCACUAGGAAUACCUAAAGCGAAGGCGAUCUCCUGGAACAUUACUGACGCUAAGGCGUGAAAGCGUGGGGAGCAAACAGGAUUAGAUACCCUCGUAGUC